GCCAACAAUCUAGCCCUACUUAUUUAUCAUAAUUAACCUCUACCUAAAAAUCUCGUAUUAAAACAUUUUACCAUUCUAGUAAAGGCGAUUAAAAAAUUUCUUGGAGCAAUAAUUUUAGUACCGUAAGGGAAAGAUGAAAUAAAACUGAAAAAAUUUUAAGCACAAAAAAGUAGAGUUUAACUCUCGUACCUUUUGCAUCAUGGUUUAACUAGUCUAACCAAGCAAAAAGUCUUUUAGUUUGACUUCCCGAACCCAAGCGAGCUACUUUAAGGCAGCCUUAUGGGCAAAUCCGUCUCUGUUGCAAAAGAGUGGAAUGACCUUAAAAUAGAGGUGACAGACCUAACGAGCUUGGUGAUAGCUGGUUGCUCAUGAAAAGGAUUUUAGUCCCGCUUAAAGACAUAUUUAUACCCCUAAAUUUAAAACUUUAAAGUAAUUCAAUCAAGGUACAGCCUGAUUGAAAAAGGAUACAACCUCAACACUUGGGUUACUUCGAUGAAUUAAUGAUCAAGUAGGCCUAAGAGCAGCCAUCUUUAACAAAAGCGUUAAAGCUUAUUCAUUUUUUCUAAAAAUUCCUCCUCUAUCUUCUAACCCUCUCCUAUUAAAGAGCAGCUCUAUACUAUUAUAGAAAAUUUUAUGUUAAAACUAGUAAUAAGAAGAAAACCCUUCUCUUUAAUGUAAGUGUCCAUCAGUAAGGAUACUCCGCUGAUUAUUAACGUCUUUAAUCCCAAAGUAACAACCAAUCUAGAAAAUCUUACUUUACCUUUCGUUAACCUAACACAAGUACAUUCUAAGAAAGAUUUAAAGAAAAAGAAGGAACUCGGCAAACUCUUAAGCCUCGCCUGUUUACCAAAAACAUCGCCUCCUGCCAAUUAUAGGAGGUCUAGCCUGCCCAGUGACAUUGUUCAACGGCCGCGGUAUCCUAACCGUGCGAAGGUAGCGUAAUCACUUGUUCUUUAAAUGAGGACUAGUAUGAAUGGCUUCACGAAGGCUAUACUGUCUCCUUUUUCUAAUCAAUGAAACUAAUCUUCUCGUGAAGAAGCGAGAAUCCAUCUAUAAGACGAGAAGACCCUAUGGAGCUUUAAACAAAAAAUAUUUACCUUUUUACUCUAUAUCUUCUGAGAAUUAAACACAUUCAAGUAUUUUAUUUUAAGUUUUAGGUUGGGGUGACCACGGAGCACAAACCAUCCUCCAUGUUGAAAGAAAUUCUUUCUCUUAGCUAAAAGCUACAGCUUAACGCAUCAAUAAAUUGACUUUCAUUGACCCAAUAAUUUGAUCAACGAACCAAGUUACCCUAGGGAUAACAGCGCAAUCUAUUUCAAGAGCUCAUAUCGACAAAUAGGUUUACGACCUCGAUGUUGGAUCAGGGUAUCCUAGUGGUGCAGCCGCUACUAACGGUUCGUUUGUUCAACGAUUAAAACCCUACGUGAUCUGAGUUCAGACCGGAGUAAUCCAGGUCAGUUUCUAUCUAUAAAGAGCUUUCUCUAGUACGAAAGGACCGAUAAAGCAUGGCCAAUGUCCACUUAAGCCAUAAAUUUUUAACUUAUGCUAAAAACUUAAUAAUUAAAAAUCUUCCACCCCCUCCCCAAAACAAGGGGUCAA
rnacentral:rRNA from 1 species